UGGACUUUUGGUGGAGGAACCAGACUGAAUGUUAACUUGGGUCGAGCCGGCCCCACCCUGACGGUGCUGCCCCCCUCCAGGGAGGAGCUGCUGAAGGGGAAGGCCACGCUCAUGUGCCUGGCCAACAAGGGCUUCCCCUCAGACUGGAGUCUGGCCUGGAAGGUGGACGGCAGCAGCAGCAGCAGCUGGGAGGAGAGCAGGAGCCCCGGGGUGCUGGGGAAGGACGGCAAAUACAGCUGGAGCAGCACCCUGAGGCUCCCUAAAGACCAGUGGGAGAAGGUGGGCUCUGUGACCUGUGAGGCCACCCAGGGCUCCCAGACUCCGCUCUCAGAGACACUGAGGAGAGACCAGUGUUCCCAGUCCUGACCUGACUCACUGGGACUCUGCUACUGGUUUCACUCUGAUACUGGUCUCAGUCUGCUCUCUGCUACUCUCUCUCUCUCUCUCUCUCUCUCUCUCUCUCUCUCUCUCUCUCUCUCUCUCUCUCUCUCUCUCUCUCUCUCUCUCUCUCUCUUUCUUUCUGGCAUCAGACCAAUUUAAUAGUGUUCAACUUAAAAUAGCGAUGUUUCAUUUGUUGCAAUAAUCCUUAUGCUGUUAAUGCUGUAAGACAAUAAAACAUGAUUCAUAGAAAAAA